AGCAGCCGCGGUAAUUCCAGCUCCAAUAGCGUAUAUUAAAGUUGUUGCAGUUAAAAAGCUCGUAGUUGAAUUUCGGAAUCUGUCCGUUGGUCGGGCUUCAUUGUCCGUACUGGUGUGAUGGGUUCUUACCUUCUGAAUAACCAGCAUGCCAUUCAUUUGGUGCGUUGGGGAAGCAGGACUAUUACCUUGAAAAAAUUAGAGUGCUCAAAGCAGGCUAGUGCCUGAAUACAUUAGCAUGGAAUAAUAAAAUAGGACGGCAUGGUUCUAUUUUGUUGGUUUCUAGGAUCACCGUAAUGAUUAAUAGGGAUAGUUGGGGGCAUUAGUAUUCAAUUGUCAGAGGUGAAAUUCUUGGAUUUAUUGAAGACUAACUUCUGCGAAAGCAUUUGCCAAGGAUGUUUUCAUUAAUCAAGAACGAAAGUUAGGGGAUCGAAGACGAUCAGAUACCGUCGUAGUCUUAACCAUAAACUAUGCCGACUAGGGAUCGGACGAUGUUAAUUUUUUAAUGAGCUCG
rnacentral:rRNA from 1 species